AUGAACGCUGGCGGCGUGCUUAAUACAUGCAAGUCGAACGGAUGAGAUCGAGAAGCUUGCUUCUCUUUUGAUUCAGUGGCGAACGGGUGAGUAAUACGUAGGCAACCUGCCCCAAAGCGGGGGAUAGCAGUUGGAAACGACUAUUAAUACCGCAUAGGUAAUCGGAAGGCAUCUUCUGAUUAUUAAAGGUGCGUUUGCACCGCUGUGGGAUGGGCUUACGCUGUAUUAGCUGGUUGGUGAGGUAACGGCCCACCAAGGCGAUGAUACAUAGCCGGUCUGAGAGGAUGAACGGCCACAUUGGGACUGAGACACGGCCCAGACUCCUACGGGAGGCAGCAGUAAGGAAUUUUCGGCAAUGGACGAAAGUCUGACCGAGCAACGCCGCGUGAGUGAUGAAGGCCUUCGGGUCGUAAAGCUCUGUGGUAAAGGAAGAACAGUGCGGGUAGGAAAUGCCCCGCAUCCGACGGUACUUUACUAGAAAGUCACGGCUUACUACGUGCC
rnacentral:rRNA from 1 species